UGCUGGAGCCGCGGCGUUCUCCUCGGGCCCGGACUCCGCGGGCGCAGCUGUCCCGACGCUGAGCUGGGGACCCGUGGGGUUCUCGGAGAGGGGCAGAGACCCAAGGGCUGCUGGUGGGGUGAGGCCAUCCCACGCAACUCUGGGGUCUGUGAAGCCACCAAGGAUCGAGGAAUGGAAGAGCUGCCUGAGUGUAGAGGGAGUUCGGUCAGGCUUCUUAAACUUGGAGACUUGGAAACAGAAGGCCUUGUAGGCCACAUAGGUUUUCAGAGACUCGCCUGGCAGAGGCCUGGAGCGUCCUGCUGCGUGGACUGUGAGCACCGAGCCACCAGGAGGCGACGUUGUGGACGUUUACCAGCGGGAGUUCCUGGCGCUGCGCGAUCGCUUGCACGCAGCUGAGCAGGAGAGCCUCAAGCGCUCCAAGGAGCUCAACCUGGUGCUGGACGAGAUCAAGAGGGCCGUGUCAGAAAGGCAGGCGCUGCGAGACGGAGACGGCAA
rnacentral:sRNA from 1 species